UACGUAGGGCGCAAGCGUUGUCCGGAAUUAUUGGGCGUAAAGAGCUCGUAGGCGGUUUGUCGCGUCUGCUGUGAAAACCUAAGGCUCAACCUUGGGCUUGCAGUGGGUACGGGCAGACUAGAGUGUGGUAGGGGAGACUGGAAUUCCUGGUGUAGCGGUGAAAUGCGCAGAUAUCAGGAAGAACACCCGUGGGCGGAAGGCGGUUCUCUGGGACGGUACUGAC
rnacentral:rRNA from 1 species